rnacentral:lncRNA from 1 species
AAAAAUAAAAACCACAGUGACAGAAUCCCAUUGAUGAUGGCCUGCCUCCAAUGUGGCAUCCCUCUAGCAGAUAACUUCAUAACCAUUUGGGUGUCUUUUGGUUUAAGAUCACAGAAAUAAACUUUUGCUACAUUUUUAACCAUAAAUUGUAUCAUGUUUUAUGUAUUGUUGCCUUCCACCACCUGAUUUGUUAUCUUGAAAUAUUUUUUUUCUUUGAAAAGUUAGUUUCAAUAGAAAUAUAUGCUCCCAUGGCACAAUACGAAAAAGAUGGAAACGAUGAACAGGAAAAGCCUACUUUCCCUCAUUUGACAGAGGAUGUCUCCAAAGGAGCCUCCAUAUCCCUUAACUUAGGUUCUCUGGAUACUUGUCGACGCCUGGCAUAAAUAGAAGUGCCACAUUCUUCCUCACUGUUUGGAAGCCCUCAGAGAGAAAGUGUGUUCCCUUCGCCACCAGCAUUUCCAAAACUGCGCCCGUAUCUAGUCGCGGCGGGUCUGCGAGUCGGUACUGGGAGCAGCGAUCUGUGGCGGACACUGGGAACUGGAAGCGACAGUCCUGGGAGUGGAGGGGUAUCUUUGGAGAAAGAUGACAGAAGUUGAGGGCAGAAGUCCAAGGGGGAAGAAGAAAGGAAAGGAUCCCGCGUCAGGAGGACAUUUCGAGUUGGGUGGAGAGAAGAGAGCCCCUGCGCGGAGUCAGACUGCGGGUUUUCUAGGUCCCACUUGACUUUUCGCUCCCUCGGGGCCUCCCGGAUACUGUGACCUCUUAGAGGCCUGUCAAGCUGGGCUAACUGGCCCUUCUGCCCCAAGAACACCUCGCACUUGGCUGGGAGCAGGGUGGAGGGAGAUUGCCUUCAGUGGACUCUACGUCCGGCUCCUGUCCCUGGACACGUCUUACAACAGCUGGAUCGCGGGGGAAACCUCAUCUGGGACCCCAGCCCACGCAGGCAACUGCCUCGACUUAGCGCCCUUUCCCAGCCGCAGACUCCGAGGCCUGGGAAGAGCCCGCCGCCCACCUGCUACCUGGAGAGAAGGUUGGGGCUGGUAGGCCUUAGGGACAUGGCCUUGGGCCUGUCCUUUUUUGCCCUCUCCUGAUGUCUCGCCAGCAUCCAAGGGCGGGUGGCGCGGGGCCGUGGUUAAAGGGUGUCACCUGCGUGGAUAAGUAAGUGGGCGGAGUGACGCAUCCGGGCGCAGGAGCAGCUUUCCCCAGCGCCCUCGGCCCGGGAGCUUCCGGUGGCAAAGGCAGGCGCCGCCUCGGGAGACGCACGCACUCGGACGCCCUCGCUUACGCCGGAAGCCUCAGUCUCCCUGUCUGCCAAGUGGGUGGCCAGCGACCCCCGCGUCUUAGACUUACUGUGGUCCUUUAGGGAAGCCCACCAGCCCUAGUCCUGCUCUCUUGCACCCACGCGCCCCCAGUCCUGGCUCUUCUGAUCGUGAUGCAGGGGGUAGGUAGUGGGGGCACUGGGGCGCCCUGACCUCUAUCCUCCCGAAACCCGGCAGGUGGGCGUUCAGCUGCCAGAGGCCUCCGCGUUCCCUCCCAGCUUGGAAAGUGCUGGGGGGCGGGGGGAAGCGGGGGAGGACCGGAGGCAAGGCCGACCCAAAUCCAGCGCCGCCAGCUCCGGAACCAGAGCCAGGUUGGGCCCCCUCCAGAGCCAGACUCAGGCCGCAAAGGUUUUUCGGAGGCGAGUGUGAGCUGGGCCGUAGAAAGUCGGAGUGGACCCGACCCCUCCGGGCGCUGGGCCACGCGGACACCGGCAAAAGGCCUGCUGCUCCCCUGGGUGCCAGCUGCCUGCGGGGCUCGGCGGAUUACCGCCUGAGUCUUCUCGCGGGAUCCAGGGCCGCGCCAACCCCCGCGGGGCCCGGAUCCCUGGCUUGGCUCCGCCGAGUUCUGACUCGCGCGGGUCCCGCGGGGCCAAGCCCAAGUUCAACACUGAUCUCCAGCUCUGCGCCGGUGCUCAGAGUGCCGCGGCCUGCCCCUUCCUUUUACUGGGAGGGAUGUGCCCUCUCCUCUCUUCUUUCCCGGUUGGACGCGAGACAGAGUCCUCUGCGUGUCUCUGGGACCAGGCUGGGAAUUGCCUUCCUCUCCUAGUGUGUCUUCAGCGCCCCCUGCAGUGCGUCUCCUGCACGGCAGCGCAGGACGCAUUUCCAAAUGGAGCUGUAUCCCCUGCCUUACCUUUCUUCCACCAGGCCCUCUUGGCCUUGCCUCUGGCUCUGUUUGCCUGGGGCCUCAGAGUUAGGCUUCUUAGAAAAAACAACGAAAAUGUAAAGCUUACUGAAUUAUAAUAUAAACAUCCACAUAACCAUCACCCAGGCCAAGAAAUAGUACUUUCCCAGGCACCCCUUACUACCCUUCUGAGUCCCAUUCCAGUCCCCACUGCCCCCUCCUCCCCAAAAUGCUCAUGGUCUUCGAUUUUGCAAUAAUUAUUUCCUUGGGUUCUUUAUGGUUUUUAUUACCCAGGUGUGACUCUCUAGACAUUAAAGAUUAGUCUUGCUCUUUUAAUCCAUAGGUUCCUUUUCUCUUUUUCUUAUAACGCAUCCAUGGACGAAGUUGAGUCAUUUCUCUGUAAAGAUUUUCAAGUCUGGAUUUCUCUGAUUGCAUUUUCAUGGUGCAGUACAAUACAACCCUCUGUUCUCUGUAUUUCCUGCAAGUUGAAAACUGGAUCUGGAGGUUCUAUCAGACCUUAGGUUCAAAGUUUUCAGUUAGACUCUAGGUUGUGGGGUGCUCUUUUAUAAGGAGAUAUGUAAUGCAAAGUUCAAUUUUUUUUUGAGAUUGUGUUAAUGAACUUUCAUUACUGUGACAAUAUACCUCAGAUAGACAACUUAAAAAUAGAUUUAUUUUGGCUCAUGGUUUCAGUCUUCUGUCAGUUGGCCCAUUGUUUUUGGGUCUGUGGCUAGGUAGUAUAUGAUGGUAGGAGUACAUAUUGGAGGAAACUACUUACCUAAUGGCUGUCAGGAAGCAAAAAGAGGAAGGGGCAGGAUUUCAUUAUCCCUUUUAAGGGCAUACUCCCAGUGACCUAACUUCCUUGCACUAGCUUCACCUCUUAAAGGUUCCACCACCUUCCAGUAGUGCCACAGGCUGGUGACCAAGCCUCCAACACAUGGGCCUUUGGGGGUCACUUAUCUAUUACAGCAGAGAUGUUUAAUGCUAACAUUUGCUAAUUCUUUGGGGGAUGGAAAUGGUAAUGUUCUAAUUAUACCAUUUCUUUUUUAUUUAUCAGAUGGAUAAAUUUUGUAGAGACACUUCUCAUGUAUGUGGUCACUUAGUGGAACAGUUCAUAGAGGAAAGGCAGGAUAAAUGCUUGUUUCUUUGCAUUUAUUUAUCCAUUUUCAAGAUAAUGAAUUGCUAUCUGUUAUCUUUCUAAGUUGAUGAGCUAGUUGGGUGUAGUGGUGCACGCCUAUAGUCCCAGUGACUUGGGAGGCUAAGGCAGGAGGAUUGUAAGUUGAAAGACAGCCUAAGUAAUUUAGAAAGGCCCUGAGCAACUCAACAAGACACUGUCUCUUAAUAAAAUACAAAAAUACAAAAAAGGGCUGGAGAUGUAGCUCAAUGUUUAAGUAUCCCUGGGUUCAAUCCCCAGUACCAGAAAAAAAAAGUUGAUGAAGGAUUUAAAUAUAUAUGUUAUAUAUUUAAUAUAUAAUAACAUUUUAGUUAUUAUCAUUAUUGAUGCUCCAACUCUCCCAUUUUUGUCUAGUUGGAGUCUCUUCAGGAUAACUCUUGUCCUUUUGAUGUGACCCCAGUUGUCUUUGAAUGCUGCCUUGCUACCUGUUAUGACAAGAUGUUUCCAGUUCAUCUUGUAUAUUUAUUGCUCCACAUUUAGAUCAACUAAUUCUCCAGGAAGACUUGGUUGUGACGUGUGGAGGCAGGAAUUAGGGAUGGACACACACACACAUGGGUUGGUCCCUGGUGGGUUGUAGCCCUAGGAAGCUUUAUUGUCUAGGCUCUGGAUGAGGAAGAAAAUUUUCCUUCUUUGAGGAAAAAUAAACCCUAGGCCUGUGAUGCAAGGUUGAGGACAAUAAUUUUUUUUUUUUUUUUUUUUUUUUGUAAAACAUCCAAGAGCUUCGUACAAGUUUUGUCUGAUGUUGGUUCUGCAGUCACCUCACAGAAGCUAACAUAAAACCACUGCAGAGAUCCACUGCCAUUACCCAGAUGUUUCAGAGUCCCACAGAGAAAGCCCCAUGGCAGGAAGCUGGCAGGCUUAUACAGAGUGCUUGAAGUCUUCUAGGCUUGCAAGGAAUAAGAUCACCUUUCCCUCCCCUCCUCAAGAUUUUCUAAGACCAAAUAGGCAAGAAACAGAAAUACAAACUCGGUCUUCAAUUAGAUUAGGCAUCAGCUAACAUUCUGAUCUACAAAAGUAGGUGGGAAGACUGCUAAAGGAAGCGAGGAUUCAAUUCAAAAGAGAAAAUGGAGACAAACUUGCAAGGAACUAUAAAGCUGGCAGAGCACACAGCGUCAAUGCAAAGGGCACACUCUUGAGUGUAAAAUCAAAUUCUCUUGCAAAAGUAGGAAUCCAGACUGGACAGGAGCUUCCCUGGAGUUGGUGUGGUUCCAAAAAGGAGAGAAGUUGAAGUCCAAUAAAGAAGUACACAGAAAGAUGUCAUAUUUACAGGGAGCAGAACUGCUCUGUAGAGAAAAGAAGAAAGACUUUUGCUUCCAGGAGCCCUACAGCACUUCCCAGCUCCUCUUCACUGGCUCCGGGGAGGUAAAGACUAAAAUAACUCGAGAAAACUCUGGGUCUUAAAGUAAUUUUGCCAGCUUGAAACAUUCCCUACAUAAGGUCCUGCAAAAAAACUGGUUCAACAAACAUAACCCCUUCCCAAAGAAAACUGUAAAUCAAUCUCCCUAUCCAAACAACAUAAACAUUCUAAAUAAAAUGUUAGGGAUUUUAGCCACUGAAAAUACAGCAAUGAAAAAAACCCUUAAUAGUUCUUAAUUAUGUCAGAUGGUGAUAACUUUUAUGGAGAAAAAUAAAACAGAGAAAGGAUGGUAGAGAGUGAAGCCAUUUUAAUUAAGGCAAUAAUUGAAGUCUAUGUGACAGGGGGAAAAUGAAGGAAAUGAUAUUGCAGAAGAAUUUGAUCAUGAUCGGCUCCUAGAGCCUGAAAAUGCAUUUAAGAAAAUUCAAUAUACUUUUAAAAAAAUAUUUAUUUUUUAGUUUUAGGUGGACAUCUUUAUUUUAUUUUAUUUUUAUGUGGUGCUGAGGAUCGAAUCCAGUGCCUCAUGCAUGCUAGGUGAGUACUCUACCACUGAGCCACAACCCCAGCCCCUCAAUAUACUUUUAUGAUUAAAAAAAUAACACUUAGAAACGGGAAUAUAUAGAAAUUUUUUCCUUUCUUUCUUUUUAAGAGAUGGAGUCUUACUAUGUUCCCCAGCAUAGCUCUGAAUUCCUGAGCUUCAGUGAUCAGAGUCCAGUCCCUCCAAGUAAAAAAGAAAUUUCUUUAGCAAAAACAAACAAAAACAAAAAUACCUCAACUCCAAACCAACAAGGAUCCAUAACCAAAACGUACCCUGAAGUAAUUCACCAUAAACAGACAUCAGCAGAUAACAUAAAUAGGAAUUAGAAUCCAAAAACUUUAGAAAAUAGAACAAUCUGAUGACACUAUAAUAUAAAUUUCUCUUAAUUGGCUCAAGACCAAGAAGAUUGCAUUGAAACCAUUAAAUAAUAUUAUGAAAAGGAACAGGAAAAUUAGAAAAAAGAAAUUAGGUAAAAAGAACUGGAACUGAAAAGACAAUGCCAUUUAGAAAGGAGAACUCCACUCAACAGGUUAAAUAGCGGAUUAACUACAUAGGAAGAAAGAAUUUGUGAAAUAGAAUGUGGCAGAGAACAUAACAGAAAACAAGAAAGGGAAUAAAUACAGAAAGAAGUUUGGGUAAAAAGAGAAUAUAAUAUGCAUCAUAAUUUUAGGAUGAAAAAUUGGAAGGAAUGGUGAAGAGGUGAUUUAUUUUAUUUUUUUACCCUUUCUGAAACUGGGGGUUGGAUCCAGGGCUUCAUGCAUGCUAGACAGGCAUUCUAUCACUAAGCUACCUCCCCAGCCUUGUGAAGAGGGGGGUCUUUAAAAAUUUUUAGAAUUAUUGAAAGACAUGCAUCUCCAGAUUCAGAUUUUGAGCAGGAAAAAUUAACUCAAACCUUGACUGUCUUAGUCAAUUUGUGUUGCUAUAAUAAAAUACCUGAUUCUGAGUAAUAUGUGAAGAAAGAGAUUUAUGUAACUCAUAGUUCUGAAGGUUCAAGAGCAUGGUGCUGGAUUCUGCUUUGCUCUGGUGAGGGAUCAUGGCAUCACAGUGGUGGUAGCAUAUGAGGAAGAGGUAACAGGAAGCAAGAGGGAGAGCAGAAACAGGGGAAUUUGCUUUGUAACAACUCAUUCUCUAGAGAAUUCACUCCUUGAGACCAGCAUUAAUCCCUUGCAAGGGCAAUUCCCCCAAGAUGUAAUACCUCCCACUAGGCCCAGCCUCUUAAAGGUUCCACCAUCUCAACACCACACCAGGGACCAAGCUUUUAUCAUGUGAACUUUGGUGGGCAACACAUGCAAAUCCUAUCCAACUACCAUUGACAUAUGGUAAUGAAGCUUUAGAAUAUGAAAGACAAAUAAUAACUUAAUUCACAACAGGGGAGGAAAGGUAGACUAUACAAAAGAACAAUUAAACAAGAGACU